rnacentral:lncRNA from 1 species
AUCUUUGAUUAGCUCCCCUGGAUUAGGAGCUCCCUUUUCUGAUUGCUUCUGUCAGUUCUCUGUGCUGUUUCUAGACCUGUUUCCAUAUUCUUCCUCAGGUUCUUCUUUUCAAAGGCUUCAUGCUCUUUGAUCCCUGAGUAGCCUGUUCCCAUGCUCACCCCUGAUGAUUCAAUGUUGAGCGUUGCUUCAGAAUGUUUCUUUGGCCAUCUCUUGCUGCUGCUUCUCCCAACCUUCAUGCUGAUCCUGCUGCCUAUUACUGCAGAACUAGGCCGAUAGCUUUCCUACAGCUUUCUGUCUCCAUUUUGUUCUUCUUCCCACUGCCUCGGCACACUGUUGCCAAAUUAAUCUGUCUAAAACCUGAUGUCUUUGGCUUGAAAAUUUUCAGUGUCUACAUAUUCCUUGCAAAGUUAAAUGCAAUCUAGAUAUUCUGACAUUUAAAACUGCAAAUAUUUAUUCUGUUU